UACCAGCACCCCGAGUGGUCGGGACGUUUAUUGGGCCUAAAGCAUCCGUAGCCGGUUCUACAAGUCUUCCGUUAAAUCCAACUGCUUAACAGGUGGGCUGCGGAAGAUACUAUAGAGCUAGGAGGCGGGGAGAGGCAAGCGGUACUCGAUGGGUAGGGGUAAAAUCCGUUGAUCCAUUGAAGAACCACCAGUGGCGAAGGCGGCUUGCCAGAACGCGCUCGACGGUGAGGGAUGAAAGCUGGGGGAGCAACCGG
rnacentral:rRNA from 1 species